rnacentral:lncRNA from 10 species
AAAAAGGCAGCCUGUAGGGGAUCACUGGUCAAUGCCACUUGACGGUAGAAUUUCCCACAGCCUGGAUUUCACCCAGUGCAGUUCCAUAUGCCCUCUGUAAUUCCUGCAAAUGACUCUUUUUAAUGGUCACACCGUGAUUUGUAACCAGUGCCUUACAAUUGCCCAGCUUACAGUUCUGAAUCGCUAGAAUAGUUACCACUAAGAUGAACAUCCUUGUGUAUAUUUUUUGUAUGUUUGUGGACGCCUUGUUCUCAUGGGGCCCAUCGCCCUCCCCUUCCCUGAUCCCCCUGGGUUGGGAACACCGCUGUCUCCCCUUCAGGUCAGCCUGCCCAGCACUUUAAAGCUAGGUCAGCAUCCUCAGCUGCCUCGCAGCCAGGGCCGCUGCCUGCCAAGUCACUCCAUUUCCUCACACUCUGUGUCCCACCCCCAUCUGAGUCUGACACACUCUUGCCCCCUGGAGACUUCUUCCCGUGUGGGCCAGCUUCUAGUCCUUCCUUCCCCACACACCGUAUUUCUGAGGUCCCAGACUGCUUUGGGCAUGAAUCUACCCAAAAUACAACAUGUAUGUUUUUGUUAGUAUGUGGUUGAGGUAUUUACAUAUUUAAAAAAACACAAUGCAACCAAUGCUAUUUCUGGCACACACCAGAUCUGCUUAACCCACCUCUAAUUUCGACUGCAGCUGGGGCGGACAUUUAGGGUUUUUCCAAGGCAGCUGGAAAGUCCGGAGAGUUGACUGUCUUGGGGUCAACUUUCAGCCAACAAAGGUGUUGGGAGGUUGUUGGGGAACCAGUGGACAAAUGUCUCUCUCUGUCAGCCGUCCUUUAGAGACCGUGGAGACCAAGGGAAGAUUUCCCCUUCCCGCCUUGAAGGUUCACUGAAAAAUCAAUUCAGAAAGUCAGAUUAAUUGGAGAAAAGGCACACAAAUAUUAUUCACAGGUACAUGGAGGCUUCAGAAUGAAGACCCAAGUCUACAGGGGAAAUUGUCCAUUUUUAAGUUUAAAUUCAACCAAGUAUGGACAGUCAUGUGGAAAUACGAGUGGACAAAAAGGGAAUGAUCUAAUGCUAACAGAUGGAGUGGGGAAAGCCAGCAGGGCCUGUCUGUCUAGAUUCUUCUUGCCCUUUCUGAACAGCGCUCCUUCCUUCUGAGUAUGGGACAGGACCUCCUCUGGAAUGGGGAUCUUAUGACCUACAAGCCAAACAAACAGAUAUGGUCAUAUGACUAAGCUCUCAUCAAUGGAAUGUGCUGGGAGUGAUUGUCAGGCCUCUGAGCCCAAGCUAAGCCAUCAUAUCCCCUGUGACCUGCACGUAGACAUCCAGAUGGCCUGAAGCAACUGAAGAUCCACAAAACAAGUGAAAACAGCCUUAACUGAUGACAUUCUGCCAUUGUGAUUUCUUUCUGCCCCAACCUAACUGAUCAAUGUACUUUGUAAUCUCCCCCACCCUUUAGAAGGUUCUUUGUGAUUCUCCCCACCCUUGAGAAUGUACUUUGUGAGAUCCACCCCCUGCCCACAAAACAUUGCUCCUAACUCCACCGCCUAUCCCAAAACCUGUAAGAACUAAUGAUAAUCCCACCACACUUUGCUGACUCUCUUUUCGGACUCAGCCCGCCUGCACCCAGGUGAAAUAAAUAGCCUUGUU